rnacentral:rRNA from 1 species
AUUGAACGCUGGCGGCAGGCCUAACACAUGCCAGUCGAGCGGAUGAAGGGAGCUUGCUCCUGGAUUCAGCGGCGGACGGGUGAGUAAUGCCUAGGAAUCUGCCUGGUAGUGGGGGAUAACGUCCGGAAACGGGCGCUAAUACCGCAUACGUCCUGAGGGAGAAAGUGGGGGAUCUUCGGACCUCACGCUAUCAGAUGAGCCUAGGUCGGAUUAGCUAGUUGGUGGGGUAAAGGCCUACCAAGGCGACGAUCCGUAACUGGUCUGAGAGGAUGAUCAGUCACACUGGAACUGAGACACGGUCCAGACUCCUACGGGAGGCAGCAGUGGGGAAUAUUGGACAAUGGGCGAAAGCCUGAUCCAGCCAUGCCGCGUGUGUGAAGAAGGUCUUCGGAUUGUAAAGCACUUUAAGUUGGGAGGAAGGGCAGUAAGUUAAUACCUUGCUGUUUUGACGUUACCAACAGAAUAAGCACCGGCUAACUUCGUGC